ensembl:lncRNA
CAUCAAGAGGCUUUUUAGCUCCUCUUCACUUUCUGCCAUAAGGGUGGUGUCAUCUGCAUAUCUGAGGUUAUUGAUAUUUCUCCCAGAAAUCUUGAUUCCAGCUUGUGUUUCUUCCAGUCCAGCAUUUCUCAUUAUGUACUCUGCAUAGAAGUUAAAUAAGCAGGGUGACAAUAUACAGCCUUGACGUACUCCUUUUCCUAUUUGGAACCAGUCUGUUGUUCCAUGUCCAGUUCUAACUGUUGCUUCCUGACCUGCAUACAGAUUUCUCAAGAGGCAGGUCAGGUAGUCUGGUAUUCCCAUCUCUCUCAGAAUUUUCCACAGUUUAUUGUGAU